UACGUAGGUGGCGAGCGUUGUCCGGAUUUACUGGGCGUAAAGAGCGCGCAGGCGGUCGUACAAGUCGCGUGUGAAAGCCCCCGGCUCAACUGGGGAGGGUCACGCGAUACUGUUCGACUCGAAGGCAGGAGAGGGAAGUGGAAUUCCCGGUGUAGUGGUGAAAUGCGCAGAUAUCGGGAGGAACACCAGUAGCGAAGGCGGCUCGCUGGGCCAUACCUGACGCUGAGACGCGAAAGCGUGGGGAGCAAACAGG
rnacentral:rRNA from 1 species